rfam:Hordeum vulgare subsp. vulgare, WGS project CAJW01000000 data, contig: morex_contig_11199
UAAAUACUCCCUUCGUCCUAAAAUUAUUGUCUUCGAUUUGUCUAAAUAUAGAUGUAUCUAGUCAAGUUUUAGUGUUAGGUACAUCCAUAUCUACACAAAUCUUAGACAAGAAUUUUAGGAUGGAGGUAGUAGUAC